rnacentral:rRNA from 1 species
UGGGGAAUAUUGCGCAAUGGGCGGAAGCCUGACGCAGCGACGCCGCGUGGGGGAUGACGGCCUUCGGGUUGUAAACCUCUUUCGACCGGGACGAAGCGAAAGUGACGGUACCGGUAUAAGAAGCACCGGCCAACUACGUGCCAGCAGCCGCGGUAAUACGUAGGGUGCGAGCGUUGUCCGGAAUUAUUGGGCGUAAAGAGCUCGUAGGCGGUGUGUCACGUCGAUCGUGAAAACUUACAGCUUAACUGUGAGCGUGCGGUCGAUACGGGCAUCACUGGAGUUCGGCAGGGGAGACUGGAAUUCCUGGUGUAGCGGUGAAAUGCGCAGAUAUCAGGAGGAACACCGGUGGCGAAGGCGGGUCUCUGGGCCGAUACUGACGCUGAGGAGCGAAAGCGUGGGGAGCGAACA